rnacentral:rRNA from 1 species
CUGGGAAGUAUGGUCGCAAGGCUGAAACUUAAAGGAAUUGGCGGGGGAGCACUACAAGGGGUGCGGCGUGCGGUUUAAUCUAAUUCAACACAGAGAAUCUCACCAGAAGCGACGGCAGGAUGAAGGUCAGGUUAAAGGCCUUACCCAACAAGCCGAGAGGUAGUGCAUGGCCGUCGUCAGCUCGUGCCGUAAGGUGUCCUGUUAAGUCAGGCAACGAGCGAGACCUAUACUUACAAUUGCUAACAAGCUUUGCGAUUGAGCACAUUGUGAGAACUGCCCUUGAAAAGGGGAGGAAGGUGUAGGCUACGGUAGGUCUGUAUGCUCCGAAUCUUCUGGGCUACACGCGCGCAACAAUGGCAGAAACAAUGGGAUGCGACUCCGAAAGGAGAAGCCAAUCUUCUAAAUUCUGUCUUAGUCCAGAUCGAGGAUUGUAACUCAUCCUCGUGACGUUGGAAUCCCUAGUAAUCAGAUUUUAUCAAAGUCUGGUGAACAUGUCCCUGCUCCUUGCACACACCGCCCGUCAAACCACCCGAGUAGGGUUUAAAUGAGGCUUAAUUUUAAAUUAAGUCGAAUCUAAGCUCAGCGAGGAGGGUUAAGUCGUCACAAGGUAGCCGUAGGGGAACCUGCGGCUG